UACGUAGGUGGCGAGCGUUGUCCGGAUUUAUUGGGCGUAAAGCGCGCGCAGGCGGUCGCGUAAGUCUGCUGUGAAAUCUCCCUGGCUCAACCGGGAGGGGGCGGCGGAGACUGCGGGACUGGAGGGACCUAGAGGCCGGUGGAAUUCCCGGUGUAGUGGUGAAAUGCGUAGAUAUCUGGAGGAACACCGGUGGCGAAGGCGGCAUCCUGGACCAAUUCUGACGCUGAGGAGCGAAAGCCAGGGGAGCAAACGGG
rnacentral:rRNA from 1 species